CCCGUGUUGCUCCGGACUUCUUGCCUUACCAAGAACAUUGAAAUUCCCUAUGUAAUUACAGAGCUGUGUUCCAAGGAGAAUGAGUUCAAGCACUGUUCACCUGGUGUUCCUCAUCCCCUUCAAAGACCUCAUUUGCCAAGCCUGAGAUGUUCUCCUAUCUGACUGAACAUCUUACUGAUCACAUGAAAAGAACAUGACUCACAAGGAAUUCAAUUACAUUACAAAAAUGAUCCCCAGAGUCUUACAUUAGAAAGACGACAAUAUUUUGUAACAUGUAUGAAGAUUUCUAAGCCCAACAGAUUCUUUCAUGUACUUUCAUUUCCACAUGGACAAAAGAAAUAAUUACCAAAUAAUAC